CGUUAGGACCCUGCGGACAUCGGCCAGGGAAAGAGGGAGACGCGCAGACACACUCACAGGGCGCCAGCGAGUCAAAGGAAGGAAGCGGCUGCAAGGGACCCGCAGCGCGUCCUGUCUCUCUCUCUCUCACCAUUCAUCGCCUGCUCUUCUCUGCCCUCCAUAAACUGAUCCUUCGCACCGGAGACACAACUGCAGCAGGAGAAGGACCAGGCAGAGGAGGUUGCAGCCCAGCAGCUGCCCUCCUUCUUAGGCAUCGGCACUGCUUCCCAAAGCCUCCUCUUUUCCCUCCGCAGCAUUACUCCAUUACUGGUCUGGCUGCUAUUUAUGUACAGGAUCACCUUCUUCUGUACAAUAUGCCCUGAAUACUUAGAUCCGGUGGGAGCGGCUACUCCAGCCAGUCAGAAACUGACCAGCAACCGUCACCCAGAAACCCUUUCAUUGGCAGCCCCAUGACUGUGGAAUGUCCUGCCAGAAGAGAUCAAAAAGCUACAUCAGCUGUCAGAAUUCAAGAUGGAACUGAAGGCCUCUCUAUUCUGGCAGGCCUACCCAGUCAUUUUUGAUCUGUGAAUUUUAACCUACAUUUUAUUGAUGUAGUCUUGUGUUGUAUGUAUUUUAAUUGCAUUGUGUUUUAUCAUUCUGUUUUAAUUGUGCUGAACUACACGUCGAGCUACAGGGAAAGGUGGCAUCGAACAGCUACUGUAGCUAUUGUUAUUGUUAUUAUUAAUAAUAACACAGCUUCACUGUUAAUCUCCAUAUAUUGUGCUUUGUAUGCAGAUAUGAUAUAGAAUGGUAAUAUGCCAAUUUAACAACUCCACAAUAAUCCUUUUGUUUUCCUAAUGAAAAUUAAUCUACAUAACUUUCUUCCCUCCUUUUAUAUUUUAGCAAUUUUUAAUUUUCAAUAAAAAUAUUUAAAAUAAUAUUAAAAUAAUAUUUUAAUAAA